rnacentral:rRNA from 1 species
GGAGGANUUCGCAUGGAGAAGUCUGACGGAGCAACGCCGCGUGAGUGAUGAAGGUUUUCGGAUCNUANAGCUCUGUUGUUAGGGAAGAACAAGUGCCGUUCAAAUAGGGCGGCACCUUGACGGUACCUAACCAGAAAGCCACGGCUAACUACGUGCCAGCAGCCGCGGUAAUACGUAGGUGGCAAGCGUUGUCCGGAAUUAUUGGGCGUAAAGGGCUCGCAGGCGGUUUCUUAAGUCUGAUGUGAAAGCCCCCGGCUCAACCGGGGAGGGUCAUUGGAAACUGGGGAACUUGAGUGCAGAAGAGGAGAGUGGAAUUCCACGUGUAGCGGUGAAAUGCGUAGAGAUGUGGAGGAACACCAGUGGCGAAGGCGACUCUCUGGUCUGUAACUGACGCUGAGGAGCGAAAGCGUGGGGAGCGAACAGGAUUAGAUACCCUGGUAGUCCACGCAA